UACGUAGGGGGCAAGCGUUGUCCGGAAUCAUUGGGCGUAAAGAGCGUGUAGGCGGCCCGGUAAGUCCGCUGUGAAAGUCCAGGGCUCAACCCUGGGAUGCCGGUGGAUACUGUCGGGCUCGAGUCCGGAAGAGGAGUGUGGAAUUCCUGGUGUAGCGGUGAAAUGCGCAGAUAUCAGGAGGAACACCGGUGGCGAAGGCGGAUCUCUGGGCCGAUACUGACGCUGAGGAGCGAAAGCGUGGGGAGCGAACAGGA
rnacentral:rRNA from 1 species